AGCCCAGGUUGAUGUUAUCCAUAACAGUGACCCGGAGAACAUCUCCCAAAACUCGAAUUCUUCUGGAUCUGACAAAAUCACUCCCCCUCCGCAAACAAGGGGCGGAAAACGAAACAUCACGAUACAACCUCCAAACGGAGAUAACCCGGCCAACCUGUCUAAUCAGGUUCGCCCGCGACCUGCCAAUGAAUUGGCCGAGCUCCGCGCAAUGAUCAUUAACUUGAUCAACUUAACCAAAAACCAAGAAAUUGCGCAUUGCAACCUCGCCGCAAUUGUGGGUCAGGAGAGACGCGAUUCCACUCGCAUGGCACAUGAGGUAGAGCGCGAUAUCGCGGGUAAGGAGGUUUCCCCCCGCGAAACUGGGAUUCCUGCCCAGGUCCCCAUAGAUCUGACAGGUACCGUCUCCCCGACCGAUCCUACUCCGAGAACUCGUCUGGAUUUCGCCUUUUUACAGGCACCUGCGAACGCUCUCGUCGAAAACCUGGCAACAGAAAACGAAACAAGCACAACGCCUGCCUUCCCAAGGCUACCGGCCCCACCUUUAUUACCGAUGGGCUGUUCGCCCCCUAGGUA
rnacentral:sRNA from 1 species